AGGCCUAACACAUGCAAGUCGAACGGCUCUUCGGAGCAGUGGCGGACGGGUGAGUAACGCGUGGGAACGUGCCCUUUGGUUCGGAACAACACAGGGAAACUUGUGCUAAUACCGGAUGAGCCCUUCGGGGGAAAGAUUUAUCGCCAUUGGAGCGGCCCGCGUUGGAUUAGGUAGUUGGUGGGGUAAAGGCCCACCAAGCCGACGAUCCAUAGCUGGUCUGAGAGGAUGAUCAGCCACACUGGGACUGAGACACGGCCCAGACUCCUACGGGAGGCAGCAGUGGGGAAUCUUGCGCAAUGGGCGAAAGCCUGACGCAGCCAUGCCGCGUGUAUGAUGAAGGUCUUAGGAUUGUAAAAUACUUUCACCGGGGAAGAUAAUGACGGUACCCGGAGAAGAAGCCCCGGCUAACUUCGUGCCAGCAGCCGCGGUAAUACGAAGGGGGCUAGCGUUGCUCGGAAUUACUGGGCGUAAAGGGCGCGUAGGCGGACAGUUUAGUCAGAGGUGAAAGCCCAGGGCUCAACCUUGGAAUUGCCUUUGAUACUGGCUGUCUUGAGUUCGGGAGAGGUGAGUGGAAUGCCGAGUGUAGAGGUGAAAUUCGUAGAUAUUCGGCGGAACACCAGUGGCGAAGGCGACUCACUGGCCCGAUACUGACGCUGAGGCGCGAAAG
rnacentral:rRNA from 1 species